rnacentral:rRNA from 1 species
UGGGGAAUCUUGCGCAAUGGGCGAAAGCCUGACGCAGCAACGCCGCGUGAGCGAAGAAGGCCUUCGGGUUGUAAAGCUCUGUCAGGGGGAAAGAAGGCACCUGGGUUAAUAGCCCAAGGGCUGACGGUACCCCCAGAGGAAGCCACAGCUAACUACGUGCCAGCAGCCGCGGUAAUACGUAGGUGGCGAGCGUUGUCCGGAAUCAUUGGGCGUAAAGAGCGCGUAGGUGGCUUGUCAGGUCCGAUGUGAAAACCUGGGGCUCAACCCGAGGCCUGCAUAGGAAACCGGCUUGGUAGAGUGUGGGAGAGGAGAGUGGAAUUCCUGGUGUAGGGGUGAGAGGCGGAGAUAGCAGGAGGAACAACGGUAGCGAAGGCGGGUCUCUGGAACAGUACUGACGCUGAGGCGCGAAAGCUAGGGGAGCGAA